GAUGGGUGCUACAAAGUCCUGGUAGACCACUAAUCAAAACUGUAAAAGGCCUUCACAUAUCACAGACUCAUCUACCUGGUCACUUGGAACACUGGUCUGUUAAAGUUGACACAACUCUAACUGAACUAAAGCUGACAAAACUGUUGCAUCAGAGAAUCACCAAAAAGCAUGGUAAGUUAGGAAUAACUAUACAAAAUAUAUAUCAUUAACAUUAACUCAUUGUAUGACAUACAACAUCUAUAAAGUAUAGGGUAAAGGGCUAAAAAGGUAACACAGUGAGAAUAAAUUUAGUGAGACCAAUAGUAAAAAUCAAUGGGGCAGGCACGGUGGCUCACGUCUGUAAUCCCAGCACUUUGGGAGGCCGAGGCAGGCAGAUCACCUGAGGUCAGGAGUUCAAGACCAGCCUGGCCAACAUGGUGAAACCCCAUCUCUACUAAAAACACAAAAAUUAGCUGGGUGUGGUGGCAUGUGCCUGUAAUCCCAGCUACUCAGGAGGCUGAGGCAGGAGAAUCGCUUGAACCUGGGAGGCAAAGAUUGCAGUGAACUGAGAUUGCGCCAUUGCACUCCAGCUUGGGCGACAGAGCAAGAUUCCAUCUCAAAAAAAAAAAAAAAAAAAAUCAGUGAGAUCACUAUAGAGCCUUCUGACCUCCUGAAUGGUUUUAAAAAUAAAAACUUUGCUCAAAAUAAGUGACACUUCUUAGAAAGUGGGGAAAUGGAAAAAGAUUAAGUGUACUCAGUAGGACUGGAUAUCUGAUAGUACAUUUUCCUCCAGGACUCCAAAUAGAGUGGUCAAAUGAAGGUUUAACACUGAUCUCCAGGCUGAAACUGUUACACACAUAAACCACAAUCUUAAUCAUCUCAUCCUGUUUCUGCAACCAAGGAAGUCAUCAUUCAUUGUGACAUCAUGUUCGGGGACCAGGCAAAUAGAGGUGAGGUCACAACAUAGGAAAGUUGCUUGGUGUAUAAUUAGUGUGGGGAGCACAGGGGGGUGGAUUACAAUGCACAGACAAAUUCUAAUCCAUAGCCUGUAAUUUGAGGGUUGGGUCAAUCAUAAUUUGGGUGCAAGCACACCUACUUCCUUUUUUAAUAAGGGAGAAUUUAGCUCUUGUUACCCACAAGAGUUCUCAAAGUAGAAAAUAAUAAACCAUGUUCUUGAAGCCAGUACUGAAUUAUCAAAGCUGAAGGAAGGGAAGCUAAAGAAAGAUUAGGCAACUUGGGGUACAAAUGCGUUCAAAAUCCUCUCCGUCAGUAUGCCAAGUCUCUGGAUACCAGUGACUUAUUUGCCCUGGGGUGAGAGAAAACUCCAUUUUCCAUCAAGCUGGAGAAGCAGCCUUUGUUUUUCAGCCAUGGAUAAGGCCACUUAUUAGGAGGACAACAAGAAGUGAAAUCUCAGGAGGAUGCUUACCAGGAAUCAGGAAACUGGAAAAACAAUGGCCUGCUGGGACAGAUCUCCAAGCCCUAGAGGACCACAGGUGAAUGUCACCUGUGGACCAGUAAGACAACAUGACACGUAAGGCAGGAGAAUCACUUGAACCUGGAAGGCGGAGAUUGCAGUGAACUGAGAUCACACCAAUGCACUCUAGCCUGGGCAACAGAGUGAGACUCUGUCUCAAAAAAGAAAAAAAACAAAGACAAUACGACAUACCUAGAUUCUAAUUCAACACAGAAAAUGCAAAACAAAUAAAUAAAUAAAUAAAAUAAACAUAAAACCAAAUUAGGUUUGUUUACUGUAGAAUCAUUUUACUAUUGAUGGGGCCGGGCGAGGGGAAGGAAUCUAGACGUUGUCACCUCCAG
rnacentral:lncRNA from 1 species